rnacentral:rRNA from 1 species
GCAAGUCGAACGGUAACAGAUCCAGCUUGCUGGAUGCUGACGAGUGGCGCACGGGUGCGUAACGCGUAUGCAAUCUACCUCUAACUGGGGAAUAGCCCGGAGAAAUUCGGAUUAAUACCCCAUAGUAUCUCAAUUUUGCAUGAUCUUGAGAUUAAAACUUCGGUGGUUAGAGAUGAGCAUGCGUCCCAUUAGCUAGUUGGUAAGGUAACGGCUUACCAAGGCUGCGAUGGGUAGGGGGCCUGAGAGGGUGAUCCCCCACACUGGUACUGAGACACGGACCAGACUCCUACGGGAGGCAGCAGUGAGGAAUAUUGGUCAAUGGAGGAAACUCUGAACCAGCCAUCCCGCGUGCAGGAUUGACGGCCCUACGGGUUGUAAACUGCUUUUAUAUAGGAAGAAACCCACGCUCGUGAGCGUGGCUGACGGUACUAUACGAAUAAGCACCGGCUAACUCCGUGCCAGCAGCCGCGGUAAUACGGAGGGUACAAGCGUUAUCCGGAUUCAUUGGGUUUAAAGGGUGCGUAGGCGGGAUGCUAAGUCAGUGGUGAAAGCCUGCGGCUUAACCGUAGAAUUGCCAUUGAUACUGGUGUCCUUGAGUGUAGUUGAAGUAGGCGGAAUGUGACAUGUAGCGGUGAAAUGCAUAGAUAUGUCACAGAACACCGAUUGCGAAGGCAGCUUACUAAACUACUACUGACGCUGAGGCACGAAAGCGUAGGGAGCGAACAGGAUUAGAUACCCUGGUAGUCUACGCUGUAAACGAUGAUUACUUGAUGCUGGCGAUAUACUGUCAGUGUCUAAGCGAAGGUGUUAAGUAAUCCACCUGGGGAGUACGAUCGCAAGGUUGAAACUCAAAGGAAUUGACGGGGGCCCGCACAAGCGGUGGAGCAUGUGGUUUAAUUCGAUGAUACGCGAGGAACCUUACCA